CAGCCGCCACGGUAAUACAGAGGGUGCAAGCGUUAAUCGGAAUUACUGGGCGUAAAGCGUGCGUAGGCGGUUUGUUAAGUUGGAUGUGAAAUCCCCGGGCUCAACUUGGGAACUGCAUCCAAAACUGGCAAGCUAGAGUAUGGGAGAGGGUGGUGGAAUUUCCGGUGUAGCGGUGAAAUGCGUAGAUAUCGGAAGGAACACCAGUGGCGAAGGCGACCACCUGGACUAAUACUGACACUGAGGUACGAAAGCGUGGGGAGCAAACAGGAUUAGAUACCCCUGUAGUCCCUGUCUCUUAUAC
rnacentral:rRNA from 1 species